UGGGGCGCUUUGCAAUCCCCCCUAUGCCACUGAUGGAACAUUCCAAGCAAGGUCGGCGCUGCCGCUCGUCACCCUGGGAGUGGGUCGAUCAAAAACCAACCCGGAGUUGCUCCAUCUAAAGCCUGUCGGCCAUGUCCCUUUAGCCCAUAAAGGGGUAAAGCCAGGUCUCGGAGGCAAAGUCUGCGUCUCGCUGCGCUUCUGAGCCGGGGAAGGCGAGGGCAAUGUCGUGCCUCUCUCGGGAGUCGGGCCUCAUUCUAAGCGUCCUUCAGGCAAUUCCGCGCUAGAUAACGGUUGGCCCCGAGAGGGUCUCCCAGCUAGGUGUCCUGUGUGUUUAUCCUGUGGAUUCUUUGGAGAAAGUCUGGUGUCUUUUGUUUGACUGGUGCCUAACAUAAUAACCUGGUCUUAGGGAAACUCAAGACACAGAAUAGAAGCUGAUUCAUACUUGCAUGAGAGAGACUGUACAAGUUCCUGAAAAAUCAGAAUGUCUUCUUUCCCCCUUAUUAUUCCUUUGAUUGGAGAGCACUGCAAUUUUCUCAUCUUUCGUACUUAGAACCUCUCAUGUUUUUUUCCCUUAACUUCCCAGGACUGUUCCAGUUUGAAGGUUUCUUUCCUGAUUCUGGUGACGUGAAAGCUUCACAACGUUCCAGAGUUUUUAUCAAAAAAGGACUGGAGUUUGCUAUGGAGCGUGAAACUCUGCUGUAAUUGAGUUUAGAGUGGUAAAACCACUAAAGAGGCCAUGGCCCCAGAGAGUUCCCUGAAACCCACCUGUCAGCUGGUGUUGCAUCACUGACCCAACAAGCCGUGCCUUCCUCUUCCCGCUAAAGACUUCUAUGGCAAAAAAAUAAGAUGAAAAAAAAAAAUCGAAGUUGCUCCUAGAAAAAAACUCUGCAACAGCUGCACAGUGUCAGCAGAAAUAAUGAUCUGAAACUCAGCCUCCAAGGGAUGCUCGUCUGGGUCCUAAUUCGACAUCUGAGGCUGCUUCUCCGGAAAGAUGAUAUUGGACAAAUCCAUGAUUAGACCCUUUGUAAUGUUAACCGUCCCUCCUGCGCUGGAAUUGAUUACACACAUUUGGUGAAAGACAAUUUGAAUGACACAGUGGGUCAUAAACAAGGGCCUAAGAAAUUUUCUGGGUUAUUCAAAAGCUGAGAAAAUGACUUCAUUGAGAAAAACUUAAAUGGAAGGGUAUCACAGUGUACUUGCAAAAUCUGCUCCAGUAACAAUCCCUUUAUCUUUCCUGAUCUGGAUGACAGACUGAAUGUACCCUCAGCAAGUUUGCAGAUGACACAAAACUGGAAGAAGUGGCUAAUACGCCAGAUGAUUGCGCUGCUAUUCAAAGGGACCUCAACAGGCUGGAGAACUGGGCAGAGAGGAACUCUGAAAAAUUCAACAAAGCAAAGCGCCAAGUCCUGGACCUGGAGAGGAAUAGCCCCAUGCACGACUACAGGCUGGGGGCCAGCUGGCUGGAGAGCAGCUUUGCACAGAAGGACCUAGGGGUCCUGGUGGACACCAAG